GAUGGUUCAUUCAAAUUUCUGACCCUAUCAACUUUCGAUUGUUAAGUAGUGGUUAACAAUGGUUUCAACGGGUAACGGGGAAUUAGGGUUCGACUCCGGAGAGGGAGCCUGAGAAACGGUUACCACAUCCAAGGAAGGCAGCAGGCGCGCAAAUUACCCAAUCCCGACACGGGGAGGUAGUGACAAUAAAUAACAAUAUAGGGCUCUUUUGGGUCUUAUAAUUGGAAUGAGUACAAUUUAAAUCUCUUAACGAGGAACCAAUUGGAGGGCAAGUCUGGUGCCAGCAGCCGCGGUAAUUCCAGCUCCAAUAGCGUAUAUUAAAGUUGUUGCAGUUAAAAAGCUCGUAGUUGAACUUCAGAUCUGGUUGAGUGGUCCGCCUAACGGUGUGUUACUGCUUGACUGGGUCUUGUCUCUUGGUGAACCGUUGUGUUCUUUAUUGGAUGCUUCGGGGAACCAGGACUUUUACCUUGAGAAAAUUAGAGUGUUCAAAGCAGGCCUAUGCCCGAAUACAUUAGCAUGGAAUAAUAGAA
rnacentral:rRNA from 1 species